rnacentral:tRNA from 1 species
GGUUUUAUGGGGUAGUGGUUAGCCCCCGAGAUUUUGAUCACUUAUGGAUCCCUAACGGGAACGGUUAAAUAUUUCUCGUGACCCCGGUUCGAAUCCGGGUAUGACCU